rnacentral:tRNA from 1 species
AUUGUUUUAGUAGUUGAAUACAACAGCGGUUUUUCGAGUCGCAGGUUUUGGUGAGAGGCCAGAUUAAAAUG